AUGGUAUACUCUUCUCCACUUUGCCGCCCAAUCUAAAUACGGUACACUUUAACAUAGUUCUGAGGCUCGAUUCUUCACAACGGAUUGCCUGUGAUUCCCUUCUCUGCUCACCUUCUUCAAGGGAGGAAGGAAAUUCUGCUGAGGUUAAGACUUUGUCACAGAGCAGUUUAGACACUGAGCGAGACCGCUUGGGCUGUAGAGACAACUGAGCAGAAUAAGAUGCCCCCUCAAAGACAUAGUAACACUACAGAGAAUACAGGAGUGGACACCUACUGACAUGAGUGGGUCUGUGAAUGAUGACCUCGCCUUUCACCCGAUCUGCCAAAACUUUGAUAGAAAAUAUGAAUUGGAAUUACCUGCAGCGCCAAGUUUCAUGAAUGUUUAAAUCCCAAAGCAUUCAUGGCACAUUCAACCGAUUUUGUUUAUGUCACUUGUUCUGAUCCGGCAAUUCUUAAAAUCAGGCUGGUAAUAUUACCAAAUGUGGUAUUAUACUCAAGCGUAAAAUGCUGCAGUAUGCAGCUAUAAGUAUUAAAGUUCCCGCUGUUGGGGAUGACUGAUGAGAUUUGAUCCAGAUAGAUCAUUUCGAAGCUUUGUUAACACUUGUACCAUUGUAAAAUUUCAGUUUUUCACAUUGGGCUCUACACAGAUACUAUUUGAUGUUAUAUUAACUUAUGGAUGAUGCAUCUGUAGAUUUUUUAAAAAGCUCUAUAUUUCUUCAUGUUUUUUCUUGGAUGAUUGUAUUUUGUGGUUGCCGAAGCUCUUAAAUGCCCCUUGUCUUUAUGUAUGUAUACUGUAUCCCCACUAGAGAGCAGUGUUUGCCUUUGUAACUUUUGCACCUGCCCUUAUUUGAAAAGUAAGCACCAGAAGGCCCAUAGGCAGCCCGCUGGAAACAUUAUCAUGAGUACACAGAACAUAACGCUGCUCUCAGUGCCAGUUGCCUGACACCCAAUGCCAAGUAAAUAUCUUAUCCGCCACACAUUGCUGCCAUUAUUUUCCUUUCACCCACCUCUACAGCAGCGUCGAGAAGACCCAGAGUGCCCCUCAAAGUUCGACAGUCCCCGGCGAUAAGCCAUCAUGGCCCUACUCCUAGAAUAACUCCAAAUGUGACCCACCCCUGCCAUCAUUCCAAAACUUAGUUUGUCAUGCCAUUACGUUAGUGUCAUCCUCGGCUGGCCAGGGGACUUUGGCAGCGAUGACAUCACUCCGUACAAAUAGCUGCGGUGUCAACCAGUGUUCCUCCACUCUGACGCCAGAGGCCAAAAAAGACGUUAUCAAAGACUGCCUUUGUUGGUCAUAUUGCACAUUUUAAUCAUUGCCAUUUCUGAGCUGAUACAGUAUGUGUGGUAAUCCAAAGUUUGGACAAAAAAAAAAUGUUAUUAUCGCCUGAGAAUCAUUGGUACUGUUUUGACUUGCCCUGUUAAACAUUUAGCCCACUGUCUGAAUAGAUUAUUCACAGAUUGUUCGUAUUUGAAUAUUGAUUCAGUAACCAAGAGCUUUGGUGGAGACCUCUAUGUAAAGUAC
ensembl:lncRNA